GGGAUAUCUAUGAAACAGUAAAGGAGCACUCAUGUCUCAGAAGCAUGUCUGAUGAAGAGAUUGUUCAUAUGAAGCCAUCAAAAGGUUAUGCCCCAAAUGGUGGAGGGGAAGUCCUAUCAGCAAAAUCAGCAUGCAGGGCCUUGGAUUUUAAGAUCAAGGUGUCAAGUGGUUGGCAAGUUUGAUGGAAAUUUCAUCUUCUUCCUCUUCCUCAUUUCUUUCUUGAUCUCCUUUACACUUGUCCAUGUAAUUUAGUUAGCGCAUAAAAUGACUGCCUUCUGUGAUGGUUUGUAUAUGCUUGGCGCAGGGAGUGGCUCUAUUAGGUAAGGCCCUGUUGGACUAGGUGUGUAACUGUGGUCAUGGGCUUAACAUCCUCACCCUACUGCCUGGAUGCCACUAGCAGACUUCAGAUGAAGAUGUAGAACUCUCAGCUUGUC